AUGCGGUGUGAAUGUUUACACACUCGCACACCUCUUGCAAGGGAAAGAGCAAAGGUUAAGACGGCGCUAAAAAGAAACACAUCAAGAACAAAGGACUGCCAGCGGCAACAAAAAUCUCCAUCAACGUGGUAUCUCCAUCAACAAAAAUCUCCAUCAUCAGUGCUCCGCCCCUCCUCUGCUCGGCCCCAUGGGCAGCAUCUCCAUCAACGUGGACAGCAGCGCGGACGCCGGGCUCGGCGGCAUGGGCCUCGCGGCAUCGGCGCACGGCGCGAAGCUGACGACGAAGAUGGCGAUGAGAGCCAUGACGAUGACGGACAAGCUGCGGUGGCGGCGAGCGUCCAUGGCUUUUCCAGGAAACAAACGAACGUGCUCUUUGAUCUCUCUGAAAACCCUACGGAGCACGAACGCGCUCUCGUUGCUCCCUGA
rnacentral:rRNA from 1 species